GGAGCAAAAGAGACCCAGCCCUCAAGGGGUGGGGGCACAGAGCCACACAGGAGGAGCCAAGACUGGACUGUCAUGAAGCAAAGGGCACAACUCACCUAAAAGACGAGAACCAGCAAAAUGAUUGCAGCCCCUACCUCCCAUGGAGAACGGGCAGCCCGAAGGCGCUAACACACAGAAAGCGCUUACAACAGCCUUGGAAGCAAGGAAAGCCCCAGAUAAAUGUGGAUAAAUGACCAUCACAGCUCAGAGGAAGCUGCCCAGGGUCACCGGGAAUCUGUGGAGACAGGAUCCCAACCCAGGUCUGUCCAACUUCACCACCGGCGGCUGAACCACGGGGCAGUCCUAUCGCUGCUAAAAAGCUCCUGCUCUUCACGCCACAGUCGCAACAAGGCCCACUUCCUCUCUGCCGGAUGAGCUGGGGGCAGGCCCUGCAGCUGGCUGCCUAUGUCAGGUGGAACCCGACCUUCUCUGCCGCUCCCCAGAGCAUGCAGCCACACGGACUGUCACCAACUUGAGGGAAGGAAGGAAGAG